rnacentral:rRNA from 1 species
AGACGUAGGAUGCAAGCGUUGUCCGGAAUUAUUGGGCGUAAAGAGUUCGUAGGCGGCAUAUCAAGUCUGGUGUUAAAGACUGGGGCUCAACUCCAGAAGGGCACUGGAUACUGAUAAGCUAGAGUACAGAAGAGGCAAGGGGAAUUCCCAGUGUAGCGGUGAAAUGCGUAGAUAUUGGGAGGAACACCAGUGGCGUAAGCGCCUUGCUGGGCUGUUACUGACGCUGAGGAACGAAAGCCAGGGGAGCAAAUGGGAUUAGAUACCCCAGUAGUCCUGGCUGUAAACGAUGGAUACUAGGUGUUGCGGGUAUCGACCCCUGCAGUGCCGAAGCUAACGCGUUAAGUAUCCCGCCUGGGGAGUACGCACGCAAGUGUGA